rnacentral:rRNA from 1 species
AGAGUUUGAUCCUGGCUCAGAAUCAACGCUGGCGGCGCGCUUAACACAUGCAAGUCGAACGAGAAAGGGGAGCAAUCCCUGAGUACAGUGGCGCACGGGUGAGUAACACGUGGAUGAUCUAUCUCUUAGUGGGGAAUAACCCUGGGAAACCGGGGAUAAUACCGCAUAAGCUCGAGAGAGGAAAGCAGCAAUGCGCUGAGAGAGGAGUCCGCGGCCGAUUAGCUAGUUGGCAGGGUAAGAGCCUACCAAGGCAGAGAUCGGUAGCCGGCCUGAGAGGGCACACGGCCACACUGGCACUGAAACACGGGCCAGACUCCUACGGGAGGCAGCAGUGGGGAAUCUUGCACAAUGGGGGAAACCCUGAUGCAGCGACGCCGCGUGAGCGAUGAAGCCCUUCGGGGUGUAAAGCUCUUUCGGCAGGGAAGAUUAUGACGGUACCUGCAGAAGCAGCUGCGGCUAACUACGUGCCAGCAGCCGCGGUAAUACGUAGGCAGCGAGCGUUGUUCGGAGUUACUGGGCGUAAAGGGUGUGUAGGCGGUUGUUUAAGUUUGGUGUGAAAUCUCCCGGCUCAACUGGGAGGGUGCGCCGAAUACUGAAUGACUUGGAGUGCGGGAGAGGAGAGUGGAAUUCCUGGUGUAGCGGUGAAAUGCGUAGAUAUCAGGAGGAACACCGGUGGUGUAGACGGCUCUCUGGACCGUAACUGACGCUGAGACACGAAAGCGUGGGUAGCAAACAGGAUUAGAUACCCUAGUAGUCC